AACGAACGCUGGCGGCAGGCCUAACACAUGCAAGUCGAGCGCGCCCUUCGGGGUGAGCGGCGGACGGGUGAGUAACGCGUGGUAACGUGCCCUUUUCUACGGAAUAGCCUCGGGAAACUGAGAGUAAUACCGUAUACGCCCUUUGGGGGAAAGAUUUAUCGGAAAAGGAUCGGCCCGCGUUGGAUUAGGUAGUUGAUGGGGUAAUGGCCUACCAAGCCGACGAUCCAUAGCUGGUUUGAGAGGAUGAUCAGCCACACUGGGACUGAGACACGGCCCAGACUCCUACGGGAGGCAGCAGUGGGGAAUCUUAGACAAUGGGGGCAACCCUGAUCUAGCCAUGCCGCGUGAGUGAUGAAGGCCUUAGGGUUGUAAAGCUCUUUCAGCUGGGAAGAUAAUGACGGUACCAGCAGAAGAAGCCCCGGCUAACUCCGUG
rnacentral:rRNA from 1 species